UUUAACUUAAUUAAGAAGCUAUAAGGUCAUAGAAUUAGUUCCAUAGCCUUGGACCCCAACUCAUCUUCACAUGGCUUCUCUUGCUCAAGUUCCAACACAUUAGAUUUUAGUCCCUCUACUUUCACCAACUAGUCUUGUAAUUUCAAAUUUUAGUUAACCAUGUUUCCCCACCGUAAGAUACCUACUCUCCUUGUUUCUUGUGUUCCGUUGUAUAAGGAUGACAAUUGCAGCAGAUGUUAAGAAAACUAUCAAGAAUGUCUGUUUCUAUGAACAAGAUUCGACCCAUUUUUCAAUGGUAUGGAUUUGGAGUGUAAACAGCAAGAUUGUGAUUUUGAAAUGCCCUCAAAAAGAAUCCUUGCCUUUGAGAUUCUAUCCAUUUUUAUAGCAUCAAAGAAUUAGGUUCUAGCAUGUAAAAUGUUUCCUUUCCCUUAAGGCUUAAAGUGACCAGAUAAGAAACUGAUGUGAAGGUGUGAUCUUGCAAAUCUUGCAAAAAUCUUAUUCGUAUUCUUGUGGAGCUUCUCCUCUAAAAGGAUUUUUCUUUUUACAAAUAAUGUAUUAAGAUAUAUACGCCUUCGCUUUCUUCCUCUUCUGAUCUUUCCACCCUCUUUCCAUCACUCUUUCUUUUUCACCUUUCAGGAUUUCCUUUAAAUUAAAUUUUCUUUUAGUUAAAGAAUUAGCUCUGCUUGGUUAAUGGAACAGCACAAAUAGUGAGAUGUUCCAAAGAAGAGUCUCAUAUGCAAAAAGGGAGUAAUAUCACUAACUUUGAAAUUCUGGGAUUGAUUACAAGAUAACCAUCCAUCACCAGAUAUCCAUUGAUUACAGUUAAAGCCGUUUUUAUCUUUUUUUUUUUCUUUUUUUAUCUUGCUUUUUAUAUAUCUCUUUCUGUUUGGCCAUAAUCACAGACAAGAGACGCGAAACCUAAUGACAAAGCAUUAGAUUGCUUAGAUGAGUUAUUCUGAUUUGGAAACCAGAAACCAAAUUUACUGAUACAGGAACUUGAAGGGGGACUAAAGGCUAAAAACUAAAGAGGACUGUGGAAUUCUAGUUAUGGUUUUCUUCGGAAAUAAGGAAAAUUGUUGCAACUACUACUUUCUUCGUGAUCAUCUGAUUCAUUUGAUGACACUUCUGUGAUUCCACUCGACCCUGAGGAUGAGGAUGAAGGAGCCAGAUUCAAAUCAGUCACGUCUUUUUUCAGGAAAUCAUAGAACACAGGCUUUGUGUUCCUCAGCUUGCGCACCCUAUUUUGAUUGCCAAAUUGAAGGUUUUCCUCCUCAUUUUUGGUGCUUCUCUUCUUAAAAAAUAUACGGCAAAGAACCCAAUUUUCCAUUGGCACCAAAGGGCUCUGUAAAAAAUUGAACAAAAAAGUAUAUCAGAAUUAACUCUUUCCAAUGUCCGCGAGUCCUGAAAUGAGCUCAAUUACUUGAAUGAAACUAAAUAAAUCACCUGGAUUGAGUUCUUCUUUUGUGGGGAAUUGCAUGCAGUAGCUUCAGUGCUAACAAGGCGGUAUUCGUGCAUGAUCCAAUCAGUCCUAGUGCCGUGGGGGGGUUUUCCCCUGUAGAAAACUAGAGUUUUCUUCAUCCCCACAAGCUGGUU
rnacentral:misc_RNA from 1 species